rnacentral:tRNA from 1 species
UCCCUGGUGGCUUAGACAGUAAAGCGUCUGCCUGCAAUGCAGGAGACCUCAGUUCGAUCCCUGGGUUGGGAA